rnacentral:rRNA from 1 species
UGUAACGGGGCUAAACCAUGCACCGAAGCUGCGGCAGCGACGCUGAUGCGUUGUUGGGUAGGGGAGCGUUCUGUAAGCCUGCGAAGGUGGCCUGUGAGGGUUGCUGGAGGUAUCAGAAGUGCGAAUGCUGACAUAAGUAACGAUAAAGCGGGUGAAAAGCCCGCUCGCCGGAAGACCAAGGGUUCCUGUCCAACGUUAAUCGGGGCAGGGUGAGUCGACCCCUAAGGCGAGGCCGAAAGGCGUAGUCGAUGGGAAACGGGUUAAUAUUCCCGUACUUGGUGUUACUGCGAAGGGGGGACGGAGAAGGCUAUGUUGGCCGGGCGACGGUUGUCCCGGUUUAAGCGUGUAGGUGUGUGUUCCAGGUAAAUCCGGUUCACUUUAACACUGAGGCGUGAUGACGAGGCACUACGGUGCUGAAGCAACAAAUGCCCUGCUUCCAGGAAAAGCCUCUAAGCAUCAGGUAACAUCAAAUCGUACCCCAAACCGACACAGGUGGUCAGGUAGAGAAUACCAAGGCGCUUGAGAGAACUCGGGUGAAGGAACUAGGCAAAAUGGUGCCGUAACUUCGGGAGAAGGCACGCUGACACGUAGGUGAAGUGAUUUACUCAUGGAGCUGAAGUCAGUCGAAGAUACCAGCUGGCUGCAACUGUUUAUUAAAAACACAGCACUGUGCAAACACGAAAGUGGACGUAUACGGUGUGACGCCUGCCCGGUGCCGGAAGGUUAAUUGAUGGGGUCAGCGCAAGCGAAGCUCCUGAUCGAAGCCCCGGUAAACGGCGGCCGUAACUAUAACGGUCCUAAGGUAGCGAAAUUCCUUGUCGGGUAAGUUCCGACCUGCACGAAUGGCGUAAUGAUGGCCAGGCUGUCUCCACCCGAGACUCAGUGAAAUUGAACUCGCUGUGAAGAUGCAGUGUACCCGCGGCAAGACGGAAAGACCCCGUGAACCUUUACUAUAGCUUGACACUGAACAUUGAGCCUUGAUGUGUAGGAUAGGUGGGAGGCUUUGAAGUGUGGACGCCAGUCUGCAUGGAGCCGACCUUGAAAUACCACCCUUUAAUGUUUGAUGUUCUAACGUGGACCCGUGAUCCGGGUUGCGGACAGUGUCUGGUGGGUAGUUUGACUGGGGCGGUCUCCUCCUAAAGAGUAACGGAGGAGCACGAAGGUUGGCUAAUCCUGGUCGGACAUCAGGAGGUUAGUGCAAUGGCAUAAGCCAGCUUGACUGCGAGCGUGACGGCGCGAGCAGGUGCGAAAGCAGGUCAUAGUGAUCCGGUGGUUCUGAAUGGAAGGGCCAUCGCUCAACGGAUAAAAGGUACUCCGGGGAUAACAGGCUGAUACCGCCCAAGAGUUCAUAUCGACGGCGGUGUUUGGCACCUCGAUGUCGGCUCAUCACAUCCUGGGGCUGAAGUAGGUCCCAAGGGUAUGGCUGUUCGCCAUUUAAAGUGGUACGCGAGCUGGGUUUAGAACGUCGUGAGACAGUUCGGUCCCUAUCUGCCGUGGGCGCUGGAGAACUGAGGGGGGCUGCUCCUAGUACGAGAGGACCGGAGUGGACGCAUCACUGGUGUUCGGGUUGUCAUGCCAAUGGCACUGCCCGGUAGCUAAAUGCGGAAGAGAUAAGUGCUGAAAGCAUCUAAGCACGAAACUUGCCCCGA